AGCCCACCAGCUAGCUCAAACCCCAUAACUCAACCGCACAUUAUUCAUACCCCCUAACAACCCACAAACCCACCAAACAAACCAUUUUUCCCCCUUAGUACGGGCGACGGAAAAGGACAUAUGAAGCGAUAGCCUUAGUACCGCAAGGGAAAGCUGAAAGAGAAGUGAAACAAAUCAGUUAAGCGCAGAAAAGCAGAGCUUAACCCUCGUACCUUUUGCAUCAUGACUUAGCAAGAAUACAUCAAGCAAAAAGAAUUUUAGUUUGACACCCCGAAACCAGGUGAGCUACUCCGAGACAGCCUCUAAUAGGGCCAACCCGUCUCUGUGGCAAAAGAGUGGGAAGAUCUCCGAGUAGCGGUGACAGACCUAUCGAACCUGGUUAUAGCUGGUUGCCCGGGAAGUGAAUAGAAGUUCAGCCUUUUCUCCUCUCCUCCCACACGCAGGUUAGUAUUAAGCCUCAAAGAGGGUAAAAGAGUUAGUCAAAGGGGGUCCAGCCCCUUUGAAACAGAUACAACUUUCCCAGGAGGGUUAAGAUCAUAGAACCUUAGGGACCCUGUGCUAGUUGGCUUAAAAGCAGCCACCCAUCCAGAAAGCGUUAAAGCUCACACACCCCCCCCCGCCCCUAUUAUUCCGACCAUUUAAUCUCACCCCCCUAACACGCACCGGGCCUUCCCACUUUCGUGGGAGAGACUAUGCUAGAAUGAGUAAUAAGAGACCGAGCCUCUCUCCUCGCACAAGUGUAACUCGGAACGAACUAACCACCGAUAAUUAACGACCUCAAUAAAGAGGGAAUUAGAACAUUAUGACAACCCACAGGGAAACCAUCUAAUACCCCACCGUUAACCUCACACCAGGGUGCCCCUAAGGAAAGACUAAAAGAAAAAGAAGGAACUCGGCA
rnacentral:rRNA from 1 species